AUGAAAAGGCACAAUGGCAAAAUCGGCACGGGCUCCUUUUUCAAGUCCGCGUCUCCAAUGCCCCCCUCCGCCCCCCCCCCCCGACCCCCCCCCACCCUCCUCGCCACCCCUCCACAGUCUGCAGUCGCUGAGCGGCUGGUGUGGCAGGCAGAGAGAGAGGAGAGAGGAGAGCAAGGGUUACAUCAAGGCUGCUCCCUGGACCGUGCAAACAAGUCUAGACCGGUGACCCGCUCAAUGGCUCCUUUUGAGGAGCGGGGCAAGUUCGGUCAGAGCGAGGAGAAAAGCAGGCACAGCCUCUUUUCACUGGCGAAGCCGCUCACAGCCUGGGAUCGACAGGAGGAUAAGAACUCCGAAUCGACCCAAACUCCACUCCCUCCUCGGCAGCAAGCCUCUUCCAUGAAGGUACCCAUGACCCCUACCACACGGGAUCGCAUGGCACACAAUGACGUCACAGGGAAACAAAGACCUCCGCCCGUUCCAAAGAAGACUAAUCCAUGCUCUCCUUGUGUCCCAAUCAGAGGAAAGCUGGAGGGAUCUGAGACAAUAGAAUAUUAUAUAAGCCGUGCUAGCUGUCUGUCACUUUGAUUGAACUACUACUGGACUGCCAUGAUACGUGGCGUGGACAUUAAUGGUCCUCCAACAGGGUGAAGGCCAGUGAAAUAAAAGUACAUUUUUAAUGCACAUUUUUAGAUUUUAUAGUUUUUGUUAAAUAUUGAUUUAUAUCUAGUUGCUGAAUGCUGAAUGUGUCAAUAAGUAUCAAUCAGUAUCUUAUACAUUCAUUACCUUUUCUUUCUUGUAAUCUGGUUUCAAAUGUCUGAUGACUCAUCCUGCCCCAAGGGGGGUGGGGGGGGGGGUUACUAAAUAAACCAUCCAAUCAAAUGAGACUUUGGGAGACUAGCCACGAUGGUCACACAAAUCAGCAUUUAUUUGAGCUUACGUAGCACUAUGGAGAGAGAAAGGAGAAGGUGUGUGGGACAGAGGUCUAAUUCAUUCAAGGGACAAUUUGACAAUUUCCAGCCCUCUCUACGUCGCUGCUGAUUAUUACUUGCAUGCUAACAAGCUAAACUAAAAUGGGACAUUGUCUACCCCCUUCAUCAAAAGUACUGCUCCUCAAUAGAGCCCCAUAGCUGCCAACCCGCCUCCUGUUUCUAUGAGAGUUUUUUCAUUAUUUUUACAUCAACAGAAAUUACCUACCACGAAACCACAUCCUCAGGCCAAAGUCUAUUUAAAACCAUACGCAUUCCAUUUUCUAUUUCAUUUGACUCAUCUUGUUUAUGAAGACCAACUGUGGGGUCCAGAUUCUAAGAUUUCAGCUGAACACACACUCAUCUUUUUUGUCCUAUUAUUUUUAGAACUGAAUCCUGUUUGAUGAAACCAAAUAUAAAAAUUAUUUUAAAAAAAUGUAAUGUGUAUUAAUGUAUUGACUUUUAAAACACGUGCCAUUUAUAAAAGUGAAUAUUUCAAAUCCUCAUUGAGACAGAACACACGGUUAAAGACUUGCAGUCGUUUGAUCACCUGAGGAUACAAUAAACAUCCACAUGAGCACACACAUCUUCAGUGCAUUGAUUCAUCUUCAUGUCACAGUCUCAAACAACAAUGAUGGAGUUCCACGGAUCACCACCUCCUCGUGUUGUGCCAAGCUGGGCCGGGCAGCACAUUGCUGCGGUAGAGCACACGACGCGCUGCACAGAUGUGUCCGUCUCUCACAGGCUCACUGGGGCCUGCGCUCACACAGCGGAGCCGUCAGCGGAGGCGCUGAGCUCGUCCUCGUGAUGCCGACGGGAGGACAGACUUGUGUCGGAGGCAGCCGGCGGAACCGAGCAGACAGAGCUGCUGCGUGAAGGAGACGCCGUCUCAUCUGUAACGAGCCAGUUUCGGCGCUCAGGCUGGACAAUGUGACAGCUCUUCAUACCGGACGGGCCUCCGUGUUCAACACAACCUCUGAGAGGAGACGCUACGUUCAUACAAUGAGAUGUAUUACAGUAACAACGAUGAGGCCGUGAUGUUAUUUCUCUGUGGUCUAACAUCCUCUGAUCUAACACUGUGCAGACCUGCCUGUCAGCUGAUUGGAUAAGACCCGCAGCGCUGCCUCAUCAGUGGAAAGAGCUGUGCCUCCCCCUGGUGGUCGAUGUGAGGACGUCACCCGUCAAACGCCACACUCCCCACCCAAAUCCCUCCUACACUUACUUUACAGUUACUGUAACUGAACUAAACUAAACCUCAGAGUAAAUGUAGUGGAGUAGAAGCAUGUAGUAUGACAUGUGUGUGAGUGUCAAACAAAUAUUCACAUUUAAAUAAUCAGCACUUUGCUGUGUCGACUCUCUCGUGUGAAUUCAGACGUAUUAAUCAAAAAGAAAAACAAUCCCUCGUGGUGAAGAAACAUGCAAGCACGCCGCUGUAUCAAGCGUGGCAAAGGCAGUAAACAGACAUGGCGGGGUGGGCAGGAGAAAGGGAUCAUCACAGAGAUGUAAAUGAGAUUCAUCUACACUGUGUGUUCACGGGUUCAGGAGGAGCAGAGCGAGGCUGCCGUGCUGUCAGCGUGGAUUAGCCUGCCUGUUUCGCUCCCCAACAGAGACCUGCCACCAGGCGACAGUAGCAGGCCGCACGUUCCAGAACCGACUGCUGUGUCUACACGUUGGUUUUGGUCUUCGCAGGUGGAACCGGCCGGGGUCGAGGUCGUCUGAGAAUCAGCACACACGUCAACGCCCCGUUGUGCAGAGUCAAAAUGACGAGUGUGUUUCAUAGCUGACACUGCAGAGUGUUUACCCAAAGAAGUGAAGCAAACAGCCGGUCAAAGUACCAUCAAACAAUGGACAUGACCCUGACAACAUAAAUCAAAGAGUAAAACUGACAAACUCUUUUUCCACCAGCCAGGAAACGACUUAUGUUCCCAUAACUCCAAGUUAAGGGUAUUUUUAAGCGUAUUUGGUUAGUUGAGUAAACACUACAUUUAGAAGCAUUUACAUGUUAAAAUAAGACUAAACAAACAUCAUCAAGUAGAAAGCUAGUCCUUUAGACUAUAAUGCUAGUUCUAAUUCUGUCAAUCCAUUCGAUAAAUCCUACUGAUUUAUCCGCUAAAAUUAGAUGAUUUAAGCAUUAAUACUAUUAUGUAUAUAUAUAUAUAUAUAUAUAGAUAGAUGUUUCACCCUUUUUUUUUUGCUUUUAUAAAUU
ensembl:lncRNA